rnacentral:lncRNA from 1 species
AAUCAAACAAAACAGCACCACCGUCUGGUUGUAGCAGGUAUUACACAACGGAAAUCGGUUUGUUGUCUUCCUGUUUCUAGAUGUGUGUCGCGGUAUGAAGUUGAUCGCAUGCUAUUGCACGGUCUAUGGACAGUAACGGUUUAUCUACAUUGUGUCAUGUCAUGAUUAUUUAUGCCCGCGGUAAAUCACGGAUCGCUACAUCGACGUGGUGUUACAUUGUUACUAAAAUAACCGGACUUGCACGUGGUUGGUGCUACAUUUCAAAGGCAACCAACUCACGAGGUGACGUUACUGUCCAGUAGUGCAACAACUUGAAAUGAUUGUCUGACAUUCGCUCAGAUAUUGAGUGAAAGGAUGCUGAGAACACUUUUAACAGCUGUCCGCGGUCCUGCGGUCUGCGUGGGUCGGUGUUUCAGCAGUGAAGUGAGUGGUGCAGAUUCCACGUUACCCGGUUUCUCCUCUCCACCGUUCUCAACGGAGGCUUCACUCUAUGUUCACUGGCCUUACUGUCUGAAGAGAUGCUCCUACUGUAACUUCAACAAGUACAUCCCUCGCUCUGACAACCAGGAUGUCAUGUUGGAGUGUCUCCAGCAGGAGACGGAGACCUUACUAAAGCUCAGCCAGGUGUCCCGGAUCACCUCUGUGUUUUUUGGAGGCGGGACUCCCAGCCUGGCCCGCCCCUCCACUAUCGCUGCGGUCCUAGAGACGGUUGCCAGGCACGCUGGACUAUCAGAGGAGGCGGAGGUCACUCUGGAGGUCAACCCCACCCCCGUAGGAAGCUCUAAGUUGGAGGACUUCCUCCAUGCUGGCGUCAACCGUUUUUCCAUCGGGGUGCAGUCUCUCCGGGACGACGACCUGAAGGUUCUGGGGAGAGACCAUAACUCCCAGCAUGCUUUGCAGACCGUAGCGGAGGCUCGGAGGCUCUGCCCGGGGAGGGUGUCUGUCGACGUCAUGUUCGGACGCCCUGGUCAGAGCGUUGCAUCCUGGGAGUUGGAGUUGGAUGAGCUGCUGUCGGUGUGUGAUGACCAUGUCUCCCUGUACCAGCUGACCCUGGAGAGAGGCACACAGCUGUUCAGACAGGUCCAGAAAGGCCAACUGAGCGUGCCCAGUGAUGACAUCACAACUGUCAUGUAUGACUCUGCCAGGAGGAUUCUUCAGAAGAGAGGCUAUCUGCAGUACGAGGUGUCCAACUUUGCCAGAAAUGAUGCCAUCAGCCAACACAAUAUGAGCUACUGGAAGGCCAGUCAGUACCUUGGAGUGGGCCCAGGUGCCCAUGGUCGCUUCGUCCCCUGUGGAGAGGGGGAUGUGUGUCGAGAGGCCCGUACCCAGACUCUGGAGCCUGAUGUCUGGUUGAGAGAGGUGCAGCAGAGGAGUCACGGGACUCGACGCAGGAUACCCCUCACCCACCUGGGACUAUUGGAGGAAGUGUUGGUCAUGGGACUGCGUUUGAUUGACGGCGUCACUCACCAGCAUUGGCAGUUGUUCAGUCCCAGGGCAGAUCUUUACCAGAUUCUCAGCUCAUCCUCUGAAGUACAAGACCUUCAACAGACAGGUAACCCAGACCUUCAACAGACAGGUCUUGUAAUCCUGGAUGACAGGUAA